AACGGUAAAUGCCAUCAAAGAGGAGUAGUGUUUUGUAUUUUUGUAGGUUUUCUCUUUCAAUUUAAUAAAUAAAUGCUCUGUUUGGUUAAUUAGCUCAAAAGCAGUCUCAGAGGUGGUCUAAGGUAACGUUAACUGUAAAAAUCGAAUAUAACCUUAAGUUACCUGUUUUAAAUUAUUUGAAAUUUAUCACUAUAAACUAUACAGUAUUAACUUUCUAAUUAUUCAAUUUUUAACCGUAGUAACGUUAAUUCGUUUGUUUGAAUACCUGCUGCUCGAGCUUGAUGAUGCUCAUGCUAUCCAUGCUGUGAACUUGAAUAUAAUCCGAUAUAACGUUAAAUAUAAAGUUUAACGUUAAUUAGACCGAGGCUGCCGAAAUCAUGUUCAGUGUAACGUUAUGUGGGAUUAAUAAUUUCCCCUUUUCUCCCUCAAGUGGCAGGCUUGUAAAUUCUGUCAUCUGUUCAUUAUUGGUGUUAAUGGUGUUUUUCACAUGCAUGCUUUUUAAUGCUAGUUUAAUUCUCAAAUUGAUCUGAUACUUUCGUUUCACAAAAAGUAAACAAAUUGUUCACUUUUUUAGGGCCCGACAACCACCAGUUGAGUCCAUGAUUCAGGGAAGAGACAGUCUGGGCAGCAGCAACAAGACAACUAUUACAAGUAGAGAUGGGUUUCAAGAACUGACACAACCACAUAUCCUCCAAAUCAUCUCUGCGUGGAUGGCAGCAAGGAUCCAGGAUCAAGAGAUCAUUCUUCAUGGAGACUGUUCCACAGGAAGCAGUUUCUCCUGGGUGAAAAACUAAACCUGGUUGUUUCAGCAUCACUCAGGCAAGACUAAAUACUUUUAAAUUGAUUUCAGUUGGUUAUGUGUUUCAGGUCAUCCUGACCAUUCUGCUGUUCUGGAUGUAAGGCCGUGCUGGAACUACAUUUCUCGUGGU